CGCGCGGGGCCAGCCCCGACGGGACCUUUGUGUCCGCGCGCCGGACUGGCGGGAGCGCGGGUCGCCGGGCUCGGGGAGGGGACCGCGGCCCCUCGUCCCGCGGUGGAGCCGGGAGGAUGCCCGCCCGUGCUGCACCUACGGUCGGAACAUUCCCCUGAAAAGUGGAGGUCCCGUUCAGGUCCCUCCCCUAACAACCCGCGGCAGGUCCGGGCCCAGCGGACCUCUGCUCCAGAAUCCGCAAGGCCCGCGGCGCCUCCGUUUCAGCGGAGAAAAAGAGCUCCAGGAACGAUGAGAACGAAUAAAAAGAGAGGAGAGGAAACUGAGGCAUGGAGAUAGGUGAGCACACCCCGUCCCCUGCCUGGCCACUGCAAGUCUCUGCAAGAGAAGCCCCUAAAAGCCAGCCCAGCCCUGGACCGUGGCUCAGACACCACUGAGGACACAGCAAGAAUACAGCUGUCCCCAAGCCAGGAAGAGGGUCCUCCACCAGGAACCAAAUCUCGGGCAUUCUGAACUUGGACUUCCCAGGUUCCAAAAACGUGUCGCCCUUAGCAAUGACAAUAGCCACCCAGUUCUGCCCCCUACAAUGUGCCAGGCACACUGGACACCUUCAGCUCUGAAGACCAGCACAGGCUGACUUCUGAAACCCUCGUCACAACCCAGAAGAACACGCUCUGGGGACGGGGAAAUGAGGCUCAGAUCAGCAAUGCGACUUACCCAAGAUCACGCAGCAGUACCUGGACAGGCCAAGAUUUGGACAUUGCUGUGUCACACCCCAAGGUGCUCAUUCCCUAGGUGACUUAGACUGAAGUCCCCUCCCCAGGAUGUGUCGCCCCAGUCUGCGUCCCCGAGAGGGGUCUCCCCGGGCUAGAGCAGGGAUGGGAACUUGGGCUGUGGGAACACCAGCUCCUCCCUGCCUGGUGCUCUUUGUCUCUUUUGGGGCACUACUUUCUGGAGAGUCACUUCCCUGUCCUUGGUCUGCCUCCAGCCACUGCCCCUCUGUGCAGCAGCCCCAGGAGGUCUUAUAACAUGCAUUGGAUCUCAGCACUCCCUGCCCAAGCUCUGCUCACUCCACUGCGGCCUUAAUGGGCCCCCCAGGGCCUUUGCACAUGCUGUUCCCUCAGCUGGGAACUGUCUUACCCCACAUCUUCCCAUGCUGCCUCUUUCUAGUCAUUAUGCCUCAGAAGAGGUGCCCACCUCUGCCCACCCUGAACCAAGUGUGGUCCCGCUAAAAUGUGAGCUUCCCAGGGCAGGUACCUUAUCUGCGUCCCAUGGUUUUUAUGUCUGACUUAUAGUAGGUGCUCAAUAAACACGUUGAAGAAACA